UCCCGAGUGCUUGCACUCAAUUGGAAAGAGGAGUGGCGGACGGGUGAGUAACACGUGGGUAACCUACCCAUCAGAGGGGGAUAACACUUGGAAACAGGUGCUAAUACCGCAUAACAGUUUAUGCCGCAUGGCAUAAGAGUGAAAGGCGCUUUCGGGUGUCGCUGAUGGAUGGACCCGCGGUGCAUUAGCUAGUUGGUGAGGUAACGGCUCACCAAGGCCACGAUGCAUAGCCGACCUGAGAGGGUGAUCGGCCACACUGGGACUGAGACACGGCCCAGACUCCUACGGGAGGCAGCAGUAGGGAAUCUUCGGCAAUGGACGAAAGUCUGACCGAGCAACGCCGCGUGAGUGAAGAAGGUUUUCGGAUCGUAAAACUCUGUUGUUAGAGAAGAACAAGGACGUUAGUAACUGAACGUCCCCUGACGGUAUCUAACCAGAAAGCCACGGCUAACUACGUGCCAGCAGCCGCGGUAAUACGUAGGUGGCAAGCGUUGUCCGGAUUUAUUGGGCGUAAAGCGAGCGCAGGCGGUUUCUUAAGUCUGAUGUGAAAGCCCCCGGCUCAACCGGGGAGGGUCAUUGGAAACUGGGAGACUUGAGUGCAGAAGAGGAGAGUGGAAUUCCAUUGGGAGGGGCGCGU
rnacentral:rRNA from 1 species